rnacentral:rRNA from 1 species
UGGAGGAAAGCAGGGGAUCGUAAGACCUUGCGCUUAUGGAGCGGCCGAUGCCUGAUUAGCUAGUUGGUGGGGUAAUGGCUCACCAAGGCUACGAUCAGUAGUUGGUCUGAGAGGACGACCAGCCACACUGGGACUGAGACACGGCCCAGACUCCUACGGGAGGCAGCAGUGGGGAAUUUUGGACAAUGGGCGAAAGCCUGAUCCAGCAAUGCCGCGUGAGUGAAGAAGGCCUUCGGGUUGUAAAGCUCUUUCAGUCGAGAAGAAAAGGUUGUGACUAAUAAUCACAAUUUAUGACGGUAUCGACAGAAGAAGCACCGGCUAACUACGUGCCAGCAGCCGCGGUAAUACGUAGGGUGCAAGCGUUAAUCGGAAUUACUGGGCGUAAAGGGUGCGCAGGCGGCUUUGUAAGUCAGAUGUGA